rnacentral:rRNA from 1 species
ACGCUCGACACCUACUGGAGGCAGCAGUGGGGAAUAUUGCACAAUGGGGGAAACCCUGAUGCAGCGACGCCGCGUGAGCGAAGAAGUAUCUCGGUAUGUAAAGCUCUAUCAGCAGGGAAGAAGAUGACGGUACCUGACUAAGAAGCACCGGCUAAAUACGUGCCAGCAGCCGCGGUAAUCUGAGGCGGGCGUGGACGAAGGC